AUUGAACGCUGGCGGCAGGCCUAACACAUGCAAGUCGAGCGAGCGGCGGACGGGUGAGUAAGGUCUGGGAAACUGCCUGAUGGAGGGGGAUAACUACUGGAAACGGUAGCUAAUACCGCAUACCAUCGGAUGUGCCCAGAGGGGAUUAGCUAGUAGGUGGGGUAAGUGCUCACCUAGGCGACGAUCCCUAGCUGGUCUGAGAGGAUGAACGGCCACACUGGACUGGAGCCACGGUCCAAACUCCUACGGGAGGCAGCGGUGGAGAAUAUUGCCCAAUGGGCGGAAGCCUGAUGCAGCCAUGCCGCGGGGGUGAAGAAGGCUUUCGGGUUGUAAACCACUGUCAUCGGUGAUGCGUUACUCGCAGAGGAAGCCACGGCUAACUCCGUGCCAACAGCCGCGGUAAUAC
rnacentral:rRNA from 1 species